rnacentral:rRNA from 1 species
UACGGAAGGGGCAAGCGUUGUUCGGAAUCAUUGGGCGUAAAGGGCGCGUAGGCGGCCAGGUAAGUCUGCUGUGAAAUCCCGCAGCUCAACUGCGGAACUGCAUUGGAAACUAUCUGGCUAGAGGAAUGGAGGGGAGACUGGAAUUCUCGGUGUAGCAGUGAAAUGCGUAGAUAUCGAGAGGAACACCAGUGGCGAAGGCGAGUCUCUGGACAUUUCCUGACGCUGAGGCACGAAAGCCAGGGGAGCAAACGGG